CCGUUGUUUCUUGGAUCUUGUUUUACUUGGAUAACUGUGGUAAUUCUAGAGCUAAUACAUGCAACUAAGCUUCGACCUUGCGGAAGGAGCGCAUUUAUUAGACCAAGACCAAUUAGGCUCCGGCCUACUAUCUGGUGACUCUGAAUAACUUUGCUGAUCACACGGUCCUCGCACCGGUGACAUAUCUUUCAAGUGUCUGCCCUAUCAACUGUCGAUGGUAGUUUAUGUGCCUACCAUGGUUGUAACGGGUAACGGAGAAUAAGGGUUCGACUCCGGAGAGGGAGCCUGAGAAAUGGCUACCACAUCCAAGGAAGGCAGCAGGCGCGCAAAUUACCCACUCUCAGCUCGAGGAGGUAGUGACGAAAAAUAACGAGACGGUUCUCUUUGAGGCCCGUCAUCGGAAUGGGUACAAUCUAAACCCUUUAACGAGGAUCUAUUGGAGGGCAAGUCUGGUGCCAGCAGCCGCGGUAAUUCCAGCUCCAAUAGCAUAUACCAAUUCUGCUGCUGUUAAAAAGCUCGUAGUUGGAUCUUUCCCGAGGGCCCGGUCUGUCUAACGGACUAGUACUGGGUUCCGAGGGUAUACCUUGCUGGUUGUCUCAUGGUGCUCUUCAUUGAGUGCCUUGGGUGGCUAGCACGUUUACUUUGAAAAAAUUAGAGUGCUCAAAACAGGCGUUACAGCCCGAAUAGUGGUGCAUGGAAUAAUGGAAUAGGACCUCGGUUCUAUUUUGUUGGUUUUAGGAGCGCGAGGUAAUGAUUAAGAGGGACAGACGGGGGCAUUCGUAUUGCGGCGUUAGAGGUGAAAUUCUUGGAUCGCCGCAAGACGAACAACUGCGAAAGCAUUUGCCAAGAAUGUUUUCAUUA
rnacentral:rRNA from 1 species